rnacentral:rRNA from 1 species
GACGGAGGAUGCAAGCGUUAUCCGGAAUGAUUGGGCGUAAAGCGUCUGCAGGUGGCAGUUCAAGUCUGCUGUUAAAGACCGGGGCUUAACUUCGGAAAGGCAGUGGAAACUGAACAGCUAGAGUGUGGUAGGGGUAGAGGGAAUUUCCAGUGGAGCGGUGAAAUGCGUAGAUAUUGGAAAGACCACCGAUGGCGAAGGCACUCUACUGGGCCAUUACUGACACUGAGAGACGAAAGCUAGGGGAGCAAAUGGG